CAGGGCAGCCAUAAUCCCUUGAGCAUACCAGCACAUACACAGGAGCCCUGCCCAGUUGCUAUGCCAACCCUGAUGGUCCUAGACAGAAGACCAUCAAGGUCACAAAGGACUUGCAUAUGGGAGUGGAUUCAACAUGGACUGGAACAAAGGACAAUGAUCGGAUCUUCCCUCUGGGGGCAGGAAACUGCAAACUCCCCUUUGUCACCUGGAAAGUACUCAUGGGGAGGGGGAAAGGGGGAACCAGACAGGUGACAAGAUACUCAGGUUACUUCCACAACCCCUCCCUCAACCCCUCCUUUUGGUGAUGUGUCAAUGAUGUAGUCAUGAUGUAGUUCUAGGGGUAUAGCUUGGGGGAUUAGUAACAAAUAAAAGUUGGGGGUCUUCUUUUGUUCUGGGCUUCCAUUUUGUUUCACCUGGUGGCAGGUGGGAGUCCUGUCGCGACAGUCUUCAAUGAAGACCAAGCCUACUGGCUGCUGUUUUGCUCUGGUAUUCCUGGCUGGUGUCCUUGUUUUUUUGUCCAAGGGAGCCCCCGGAUUUCUCUGUUACCAGUAUGUUCUAAUGCUCUCAACCCCUGUCCUCCUCCUCCUCCUCCCUGCCUGGAAUCGUUUUCUGCCAUUUCGAUGGAGGAGGUGGGUCUCAUUCAAGUGCAGCAGCGACAGCAGCCCUGACUCUCCCCACAAUCUGAUCGAAGCCCUGGGCUUUGCUCUCUCACUCUCACAUACACAUUUGUUCCCCAGCUGAGCGGCUCCUGCCAAACAGCAGCCUCUAGACGCGGAGCUGGGCUAAGUCUCUGUUUUGAUGAGCCAAGCUCUGAAAUGCAUUAGGCUCAGUGUAACACAAUCCGAGUGGGAACUCUCUAAUCAGGUUAGGUUCCUCACCUGAUGACAAGCAGCGCCUCUCUGAGGGACGUUUCAUUUGCAGGCUCCUGUUUGCUCUUCUGCCAGCCCCGGUUGCCUCUGCCUCAUAGCCUCCAGGGGUGUCUCAGCAACACUUAGCAUCCUGGGGCCCUUCCAGGCUACUGCUCUUUUGCAUUCAGCGACAUUAAUAGCAGCAAACUGAUGCACAAAGUGGAUCUGGUGCUUUUGCACAGCAAAACUGCUCCCCUCCCCCCCCAAAAAAAAGAACCCCACGCUUUUUCUAAGAAAGGAAGCGGUGGGAAAAUGCGCUGGACAAUUGCUUGACACAGCGCAAUAAGACCUCCCCUCUUGCAGCAUUUGAGGAACUUCAGUAAUGGUUGCAAGGUAAAGGUACCCCUGACCAUUAGGUCCAGUCGCAGACGACUCUGAGGUUGCACGCUCAUCUCGCUCUAUAAGCCAAGGGAGCCGGCGUUUGUCCGCAGACAGCUUCUGGGUCAUGUGACCAGCAUGACUAAGCCGCUUCUGGUGAACCAGAGCAGCGCACGGAAACGCUAUUUACCUUCCCGCUGGAGCAGUACCUAUUUAUCUACUUGGACUUUGACAUGCUUUCAAACUGCUAGGUGAGCAGGAGCAGGGACCGAACAAUGGGAGCUCACCCCGUCGCUGGGAUUCGAACCGCCAACCUUCUGGUAGGCAAGCCCUAGGUAGAUAUAAGAAAUUAGAUAUAUUAAGAAAAAGUUUACUUUUCGCUCUAUAGGACGCACUUUUUCCCCUCCAAAAAUGAAGGGAAAAUGUGUGUGCGUCCUAUGGGGCGAAUGCAGGCUUGCGCUGAAGCCUGGAGAGUGAGAGGGGUCAGUGCGCACCGACCCCUCUGCUCUCCAGGCUUCAGGAAGCUAUCCGCAAGCCGUGGGAGCCCGGCGUGAAGUCGCGCAGCUCUCCCAUGGCUUGCGGAGAGCUGCCUGCAUCCCGAAGCCUGGGGCGCACUGAGCCCGAUGGGAAGUCGCACAGCUCUCCCAAGGCUUGUGGACUUCCUGCCGGGCUCCCUAGGCUUGCGGAUAGCAGCCUGUUCUGGGGGCUGGGGUCGUGGGGGGUAAAUAAUUUUUUUUUUUUAUUUCCCCCCCCCAAAAAAAAUAGGUGCGCCCUGUGGGCCGGUGCGCCCUAUGGGGCGAAAAAUACGGUAAUUAUGAUAAGGAGUGUGUAUUGGCAAUAAGUAAUAUGAAAUCAAAAUAUGGAAUAGACGGGAGGUUGGGUCUUUAGUGUUAAGACCAAUUUAUGUUUUAUUGUUUGUUAAGAAAAUUAUGUGUCUAUGGUUAUUCCUGUGUGUAUUUGGUAUUUGUGUUUUUUCUUUCUUUUUUCCUUGCUGUAUCAAUAAUUUUAUUUUUAUUUUUAAAGACCUCCCCUCUUGUAAACCAGAAUGAAUGCUCCACAAACAGCCAUCUGCAAACCGUUCAGGAUGACAGCUCCAGGCUCCAUAAAGAUCCUUCAUAUGAACCUGCCCAGGUUUUGAAGUCUUCAGGAGAGUCCAUUUUCUCGGUCCUGCCAAUCUCCCAGGCACACUUGAUGGGGACACGGGAAAGGGCCUUCUCAGUGGCUGCUCCAUACUUGGAACUCCCUCCCUAGAGAAGCCAGACUGGCCCCCUCCUUGCUGUCCUUCCACCAGCAAAUGAAGACUUGCUUUUUCCAACAACUUUGGGAAGCAACUGCAUUAAAUGAAAGGGCUGGUGCUGUGCUGUUUUUAUUGUAAUUAUUUGUAUGUUUUUAAUUCUUCUUCUUAUUUGGCGAUCCCUCGUAACCAAGUAAGAUUGUCUUCCAUAAACACGGUUUUAACAAUGAGUCCGUAAGUGACUGUGGAGGCCAAUUCUGGAUCCACACGUCCUUCCACAGUGGGGACAUUGGUUUCCGGGCAGGAGUUGAUCACGGUGUGGAUUUGCCAAGCGUGCCUUCCUCCUAGCACAUUUCUGCCUUGCGUCCUGAGUUUGAGUGUCUUCAAAGCCCAUGACACCAUUGGUAAAGGCUGUUCUCCAACUGGAGCGCUCACAGGCUAGUAUUUCCCAGUUGUCAGUGUUUAUACUACAUUUUUUUAGAUUUGCCUUGAGACAGUCUUUAAACCUCUUUUGUUGACCACCA